CGUAGAUCUAGAGAUUCCCGAAUAGGUCAAUCUUUCGAACUACUGCUGAAUCCAUGGGCAGACAAGAGACAACCUGGCGAACUGAAACAUCUUAGUAGCCGGAGGAAAAGAAAGCAAAAGCGAUUCCCAUAAUAGCGGCGAGCGAAAUGGGAGUAGCCAACAAAAGAACUGGUUAGUUCUUUGAUCUAACAUAUAAUGACUAAUUUAUCUAUUUUUUGAAUAAAGGAAGAAAAAUACAAUCUAAUUCCUAAUACG
rfam:Gossypium hirsutum cultivar TM-1 chromosome 16, whole genome shotgun sequence